rnacentral:lncRNA from 1 species
CUUACACAUCUGAAUCACAUUUCUGAGAAGAAAAGUGAGAGUCUUCAAUCCUGUGGAAUUUCAGAAAAACUUCUGGAAGAGAAGGAAACCUUUUAUUAAUGAGAAACAUAUAUCUCAAAAUAAAACAUGCCUAAACUUCAGCUCUGAUUCCAGGAUUUCAAGGUGAUCCAGGUGGGCUGUAAAAUCAAGUAGCUGUUUAAAAUGAAGCUCCAAGAUCAGGAUCCAAGAUGUGGAUCAAAAUGUGAGAUGUGUUCCUGGAGGUUCAAGUGAUGAGCUGUAGAAUCAGGGUGUUGAUACACUUCAGGAUGUGCUCUCCAUCUGUGGAAACUUCAUCUGAACAUCUCCAGCACAUAAUGGAGAUCUCAAACUUCAACAUUCAAUCUUCAACAUCCAGACCUGGAUUUGCACAAUGUGUCCAGUGAAGGAAUGGAAGAAAUUUUACUUUAUUUGCUUAAUAAUUGUCUUUCAAUGUCCUUUUCCAAGACUUACCUAUAUUUUCACAUGGCUGUGAGGGGACAAACACGAAGGGACAAUGAAACCUGGCCAGCAGACACAUUCCAAAGCAGAAAAUUCCUUGUGGGACAAGGUAACUUUCAUGCUGUCCACAGUCCCAAAUGGAGAAUUUCAUGUAGUUGGGUCUUUUUCCUCGAUAACUUCCUUGUGGACCUCAGCAGUGUUCAGCCAGCAGAAGCAAGGCUUUGA